rnacentral:rRNA from 1 species
UACGAAGGGGGCUAGCGUUGCUCGGAAUUACUGGGCGUAAAGGGCGCGUAGGCGGAUAGUUUAGUCAGAGGUGGAAGCCCAGGGCUCAACCUUGGAACUGCCUUUGAUACUGGCUAUCUUGAGUUCGGGAGAGGUGAGUGGAAUGCCGAGUGUAGAGGUGAAAUUCGUAGAUAUUCGGCGGAACACCAGUGGCGAAGGCGACUCACUGGCCCGAUACUGACGCUGAGGCGCGAAAGCGUGGGGAGCAAACAGG